AUGUCCCCUCCCACUAGGACCCUUGCUGGCCAUGCGGCCACCUCCACUCUGCCCUGUGGACAUACACUGGCGUCCUCCUCACUGUAUCUCUUCAGUCAAAAGUUGAGCCCAGGAGCUGACGCCCCCUGGGCUGGAGUACCCCGGGGACCCCCAGCUGGGCUCGGGUUGGGACGGGAACAGCUAGAGACCCGCCCAGCCAGCACUGCACUGCACCUGCACAGGCGGGCACCUGGGUGUAGGGCACAGAGGAUGGAACCUCCCGGCCCCCAGGGAAGGCUGAGUGGCCCCACACCCACCCAGGAAGCUCAGCUCAAUGCCCAGGAAUUCCGUGGACAGGUAGAGACAACCGCUGUUACACGAGGAAGCGCAGCCGUACAGUCCAAGGCCGCACGUCAGAGGCGAGGUGGACGUGCUCCGCUCUCGCCCCCCCGGUGGCCCCUGCCUCUCCCUGCGGCCUCUGCUCGGGGGUGACAGCGCUCCCGCGUCUGCGUGCUGGAAGUGCCUCCCUGCCCGUCUCUUCCCAGUGCCGUAUUCUGGGCAUCAGGUUGGAAGCUGGGAAUCCCAACAGGGUUCUCUGAGACCUUGCGUUAUUGCUUUGUUCAUUGUCUAGAGGUCAGGGAGUGAUGCAGAAAAGCUAAUAAAGUGGAAUAAACUUAAAAAUGUAUUAUGAGGGAAACGGACUUUGGCCCAGUGGUUAGGGCAUCCGUCUACCACAUGGGAGGUCCGCGGUUCAAGCCCCGGGCCUCCUUGACCCGUGUGGAGCUGGCCCAUGGGCAGUGCUGAUGCGCGCAAGGAGUGCCGUGCCACGCAGGGGUGUCCCCCGCGUAGGGGAGCCCCACACGCAAGGAGUGCACCCAUAAGGAGAGCUGCCCAGCGCGAAGGAGGGAGCAGCCUGCCGAGGAAUGGCGCCGCCCACACUUCCCGUGCCGCUGAUGACAACAGAAGUGCACAAAGAAAUAAGACGCAGCAAAAAGACACAGAAAACAGACAACCGGGGGAGGGGAAUUAAAUUUUAAAAAAAGUGUAUUAUGAGAUUUUAGGUACCUUGGUUACUUAAUACUAUGUAAUGGGUGGGUUUAAAUGGUGGGAGUUUAAAAAGAUUGCAGUUUUGUGACUACGAGCAAGUCCAGCCCAGGCGUCAUCAGUGUGAGGAAAGGGUCAAGUUCAGCUUUCGCCUGAACAGGAACCUGAAGCCGGCUUUGCAGUGAGGAGGGAGGGACAGGGGAUCUGGAAGCUGUGGCACCAAAUUUUGAAAGUGGCACCAAAGUGAAGGUGGCACCAACUGUGGGCAGCGCCAGAUUCAAAAGUGGCACCAGGUUUGAAAGUGGUGCCAAGCCCCCAGAAUAUAAGGAACAGGAGUGGCAAUUGAGAACGGGAACCUCAUAAGUUAGUGAGACCCUUUGGAUAGGCUGUAUCCCCUAAAGAAUGCAAUCAGUGGGACCAGCAGAGGGACUUGCCUGUUAGAUUUAGAGUAUAAAUGUCAGCGCUUCUUGUUGUUUGGAGCACCAGCCAUUUCAUCCAGUUGUGUGCCCGUUCUUGCAAGAUCAUUAAAAAAAUUCUUAUCUCCUCCACAAUCGGGGGAACUUUUGUUCUCUUACAGGUACAGCUUUCCUUCUAACAGUCUUGGGGUGGGGACUUGCCUAGAACCUGAAGCUUUGGCAAGAGACCCCCUGGGUGGACAAAGGGAAGGUGCACCCUGCUGAUUGAGUGGUAUUGGGCUCCGUUGUGGACAGCUGGAAAGACCCGAGAAUAGUCACUUAGAUCUGCUGAUUUUGGACGAGGAAAGGGGAAGGGAAAAUUUUCCCUCCCAUUGACCAGGCAACUGUGUGCAUGGACCAAGGUAAGAAAAGGGACUAUUAAGUGUUGCCUUGGUGGUGGCAAAACUCUGAUGAGUCUGGGGCUGAUUGUGUUUGCAGGAGAUGUGAGACAAACUGUGCAAAGUGAGUGGGGAGUCCCAAUUUGCAUUUCCCUUCUCAAGAAAGGACUGGAGAUGGAAGAAGCUAAAAGAUUAAAGAGAAAUUAACCAAGACAAGACUGAGAAAGUGGAAUAGGGACAGUCUGUUGGACAGGAAAGGAGGAAAGGGGGGUAUCUGUAGGGUCCCCUGGGGACAUUCCUCCAGAUAGUCCAUUAGGGAGGAUGUUGAAACAUUGGCCCAAUAAUGAUCAGACUAAAGGAAAGUACAAGAAGAAAAUGAUUAAAUAUUGCUGUUAUAUUUGGACGAAGGAAAGCAUAUUACUGCCGAUGUAUUUUGGCCAAAAUACAAGGCAGAAGAGAAUUGGCUCUUGUAUUUAUGUUGAGGAAAAUAAACCCUUCUCCAAGGAGGAGUCUGACCCUACCAUGUGCUGGUUGAAGGGGACGGAGACCAUUCUGUAUCCCAUGAAAGCCAAGACUCCAGACCCAGAAACUUAAGUCUAAAAAAGCUAAAACCUGGGACCCCCAUUGAGCCUUCCUCCUCCCUAUAUUUCCCCUCCCUCCCAGGGCAGGAACUGGUGGAUUCAGAAGGUCCAAUAGGACCCACCCAAGCCCCCAGGGAGACUCAGGGCCAAUCAGUGCCCACUGCCCUACUAGUUUUGACCCACCAGCAAUUAAGGAAGGAAUUGGAACACUGUAGGAUGAACAUACAGAACUUUCCCUACUCCAAGGCACCUGAAGAAAAGAGGGUGAGGGAACAUUGAGCCUCUUUACCCCUUGAGAGAAACAUCAAUUGGGCCAGGGGAGAUCAGUUAUAUAAAUGCCACACUGGCAAGUAUGGAAGUCAGAAAAUUUAAGAAGGAGAUGAAGUCAUUAAUGCAAGAUCCAGUAGGGCUGGUUGAGCAAGUGGAUCAAUUCCAAGACCCAAGUCUAUACACGUAGUCUGAACUUAUGUCGAUACUGAGUAUCCCCUUUACAGGAGAAGAAAGGGAAAUGGUGAGGAGGGUAGCUAUGAAGGAGUGGGACAGGCAGCACCCACCUGGACAAGGGGAGCAGAGCAAAAGUUCCCUAAUGUAGCCCCUAACUGUAAUAAUACUGAUCAGGAUGAUAGAGCACAAAUGAAGGAUCUUGGAGACCUCCUUAUACAGGGGAUAAAAUUGGUUGUGCUUAAAUCUCAAAAUUUAAAUAGGGCACUUGAAGUCAAUCAAGAAAAAGAUGAGACUUCCUCUGCUUGCCUGUGAAGGUUGAUGGACCAGGUGAGGAAAUAUUCAGGAAUGGACCCUGAUGAACCUGUGGCUCAGGGAAUGCCAAAGGUCAGCUACAUUCAGAAAAAGAUCCAGAAAAUGGAUGGAUGGAUGGAUAAACCACUGGAAGAGUUGUUGAGAGUCUUAGAAAGUAUUUGUGAGAAGGGUGGGGGAAAAGCAGAAGCAAAAAGCCAAGUCAUGAUGAGCACAGUUGACCAAAAAGUCCAGAAAAGAUUAGAAGCGAGGCAGGGAGAAGGAAGGCAGAGACAAAACAGGGGAGCAGGCUGCACUAGCUUGGAUAAAGGGGCUAAGAGAGUGCAGGGUUCCACAGGAUGCUAUCACUGUGGGAAAACUGAUAAUUUCAAGAGGUUGUAUUAGUCAAAGGGGUGCUGAUGCAAAAUACAAGAAAUCUGUUGGUUUUUAUAAGGUGUAUUUAUUUGGGAUAGAAGCGUACAGUUACCAGGCCAUAAAGCAUAAGUUACUUCUCUCACCCAAGUCUAUGGCCAUGUGUUGGGGCAAGAUGUCUGCCGAUGUCUGCCAAGACUUCAGGCUUCUUGGUUUUCUGUCUUUUCAGGGCUGCAUUUCUCUCCAGGCUCAGCUGCUGUGCUCACUGCAUAAGGCCACCUGCAGACUAUCAGGCAAAUAGCUCUGUCUCUCCAUGGGGCUUCUGCCAGGUGUAAGGAGCUGUUUCUAUUCCUUUGUGUUUUUCUUCUGUGUGUUCACUUCCUUGGCUCCAGCUCAAAACUCCAGGAUCAAAAAACUCCAACUCUGGGAAGCAGAUGUGGCUCAACUGAUGGAGCAUCCACCUACCAUAUGGGAGGUCCAAGGUUCAAACCCUGGGCCCCCUGGCCUAUGUGGUGAGCUGGCCCAUGUGCAGUGCUUCCAUGCAUAAGGAAUGCUGUGCCACACAGGGAUGUCCACUGCAUAGGGGUGCCCCAUGUGUAAGGAGUGUACCCUGCAAGGAGAACCACUUCGUGCAAAAAGCGCAGCCCACCCAAAAGUGGUGCCACACACAUGGAGACCUGAUGCAGAAAGAUGAUGCAACAAAAAGAGACGCAGAUUCCAUGUGCCAUCAAGAAUGCGAACAGACAUAGAAGAACACACAGCCAGUAGAAACAAGAGAGCAGACAAUGCAGGGAGGGGAGCAGAAGGGGAGAGAAAUAAAUAAAAUAUAUCUUUAAAAAAAACAAACUCCAACUCUUUCCUUUGCUGUGCCUUUUAUCUGUGAGUCCCCACCCACCAAAGGGGAGGACUCAAUGCCCUGCUGAUGUGGCCCAAUAGAAGCCCUAAUCAUAAUUUAAUCAUGCCCAGGUGCAGAC
ensembl:lincRNA